GGCGACAGGUCGUAAACACUCAUUAUCAGAAUGCGACAAACAAUGCAUGACACAGUACAGUAAUGCAUUUUCAGCUUAAAGUGACGCAAACAUUUAUAACAAAGAGUACGACACUUAUCAGAUCAAAGAAAAAUAAGCAAUCAAUUCAAACCAGAGGUAGUAUGCGAAAAACUUGGGUACUUCUAUAAAUACGGACGGAGCACGUGACGCAUAGCAAUGGUUACCUGGUAAAGGCUACCUGGCUAAGCUUACGACUCGAACCAAAGUACUGUAGCUGUAUCUUCAUUCAUUCGACCUAAAUUGUGUCUCAUAUUACAAUGGACCAACUUUGUUUCGAUUUGGAGAGAACUGAUCGAGUUUAGGAUGUCACAACAGUAGCGCUUUAUUGAACAUGUAUACAAAUAUGUAGUCGUCUUACUAGCGCUAUCCAAAAUAACAUACUAAACUGGAUUAUGAAACAGUUCUCUGGAAGAUGAUCUGUUCCAGUAAAAGGUUGUCUGUGUCAUAUAUCCAUCAUGCAGCUCAGUGACACCGUUCCCAAAGAAAUACUGUUACAUUCUUAUGUGAUUUAGUGAUCAUAAGAGUAUAAUUAAUCACAUAAAAUACAAGUUGAAUUCAGCUAAAACUAAAUAGACUAUGAAAAUACAAUCUUUGACACACAUCUGGAGCAGGCAGGAAAGAUGAUUUUGGUUCAAAUGGCUCAUCAUUGAUGAGGUCAUUACAGAAUUGUCCCGACAUUAACCUUAAGAUAUUUAGGCAAACCAUGGGAAACCGCUGAAGCCACACUUGUGACAAUCUUUUUGUUGUGCCUAUCUGCAGCCCAGCAUUUCUGCUAUGUGUUUCCAUUGUGAUGGGCUAGGCUUGAAAUCAGCCGAACCAUAAAGUUUUUAAUACAGCUGAGAGGUGUAAUGAGAUAUCUUCUUGAAAUUCAUGUAAUCUGUGGGGCACCAUGAUUCAAAAAAGUGUUUACUACCAAGCAGAUGGUGUACCAGGUAAUAGUUUUCUCUAAACUGCAUUAUGCUUGUGAAACUUCGAUGCUUUAGGCUGAGGUAUGAAGAAAUAACUCUAUUACCAGUAGAAGCUUUGGUCAAUUGUGAAACUCAUCUAGGAGUAAUAUGUAACCAAUGCUACAGUUUUUAUAAGAAUAUGGGUGAACAGUACAAAAGCCACCUCAUUAGUUGCAGUAUCAGAUGAAUUUAACUUGCCCAAUAUGUAAGUAAUGACAGACUUCCCCACAAAAGCCUCUAUUACAGUUCAGCACUGGCAGAAGACCUCAUGGAUUGCUUCAAGGACUAGCUAAAAAAAUUGCUAUAAACAAUCUUGUAAAUUGAAAUAUAUAUGGUGUUGUUAUAGGCAAAAGACAAACUCCAUUUUUUAAAUGCCUCAUCUUUAGUUUGCUUUUGUGGCAGACCUUGUAUAUGACACUUUCUGACAGAGCACUAGUACAAUUCCAUAGUUAACUACUUGUCCGCAGGUCUAAAAACAGUUGCACACCAAGCACCAUGGCUAAAAGUUCCUUAGUAAUCCAGACAGCUUCAUAUCUUUUCUGUUACAAGCGGCUCUACCUUACAUUGUUCCAUAUCCCUGAAGGUUCAGUUUCUCAACAGGAUUCAUCCAACACUGUCUUCGGUGGUGGUGGUGAAUUCUUCCAUCAAGAUAGUACUCCAUAAAGAAAAACAGAAAUGUCCAGUUUUGUUUGGAAUAUCAUGAAUUUGUGUAAGUUUUACAAGCUCGCGAUUCUCCCUAAAUUAGUAGUGAAUGAUAUAUAUCCACCUAUCUGUUUUCAUUCCACUCACUACAAAAGUUUAGAAAUGUGAUCAACAUUAGGCCUAUGCCACACACUAUGUUAGUGGGAAUUGCAAGUAGUGUGCGAUUCUUCUUAUGUGUAGUGGAUGAAUUAAACAACUGAAAUGGGGCAAAGGGAGAAAAAGAAACACAUCAAGAAUUUGAGACUGCAGAAUCAUAUUUAAAAAUGUUGUUACUGGAAAAAUGAUGCAGACAGAUCUUGUUAUGGAAAACUGGAAAAAGAUAUUCGUAUGGUACAGUUGAUAAUAAUGACACAUUAACAGUGAAGUCAAGAAAAAGCAAAACACUGAAAAGAUGUACUGCUAUUGUCUCUCUACAUAAGUUUGAACAAAGCAAUGAAUUUAUAGGUUGAGGAUAUUUAUGAAUGAUGAUGUGGAAGUCUGAGCAAGGAAACGUCACCUGUAAAUUAAGCUUGUGUUACGUUUUGUGUCAAAUAAAUGAUUGUAAAAAUAUGUUCACUAUGUAAACGCAGUUGUUAUAUAUUACUUUGUAACACAUGUAAACUGGAAUGUUGAUAUACUGUUUUUGUAAUACUGUAUAUACAAGUUUAAUUGAAAUGUAAACGUAAUGUUGAC